AAAUUGAAGAGUUUGAUCAUGGCUCAGAUUGAACGCUGGCGGCAGGCCUAACACAUGCAAGUCGAACGGUAACAGGAAGCAGCUUGCUGCUUUGCUGACGAGUGGCGGACGGGUGAGUAAUGUCUGGGAAACUGCCUGAUGGAGGGGGAUAACUACUGGAAACGGUGGCUAAUACCGCAUAACGUCGCAAGACCAAAGAGGGGGACCUUCGGGCCUCUUGCCAUCAGAUGUGCCCAGAUGGGAUUAGCUUGUUGGUGAGGUAACGGCUCACCAAGGCGACGAUCCCUAGCUGGUCUGAGAGGAUGACCAGCCACACUGGAACUGAGACACGGUCCAGACUCCUACGGGAGGCAGCAGUGGGGAAUAUUGCACAAUGGGCGCAAGCCUGAUGCAGCCAUGCCGCGUGUAUGAAGAAGGCCUUCGGGUUGUAAAGUACUUUCAGCGGGGAGGAAGGUGUUGUGGUUAAUAACCGCAGCAAUUGACGUUACCCGCAGAAGAAGCACCGGCUAACUCCGUGCCAGCAGCCGCGGUAAUACGGAGGGUGCAAGCGUUAAUC
rnacentral:rRNA from 1 species